UGGUAGAUACAGGUUGCUUUGAAAAAAUCAGAGUGUUCAAAGCAGGCUUUAUGCCAUGAAUACAUCAGCAUGGAAUAAUAGAAUAGGACUUUGGUUCUAUUUUGUUGGUUUCUAGGACUAAAGUAAUGGUUAAUAGGGGCGGUCGGGGGCGUUGAUAUUCCAAUGUCAGAGGUGAAAUUCUUGGAUUUUUGGAAGAUCAACUAAUGCGAAAGCAUUCGCCAAGGACGCUUUCAUUGAUCAAGAACGAAAGUUUGGGGAUCGAAGAGGAUCAGAGACCCUCGUAGUCCAAACUAUAAAUGAUGCCAACUAGGGAUUGGUGGGCGUAUUCAUAACCCCAUCAGCAUCUUCCGGGAAACCAAAGUUUUUGGGUUCUGGGGGGAGUAUGGUCGCAAGGCUGAAACUUGAAGAAAUUGACGGAAGGGCACCACCAGGAGUGGAGCCUGCGGCUUGAUUUGACUCAACACGGGGAAACUUACCAGGUCCAGACAUAGUGAGGAUUGACAGAUUGAGAGCUCUUUCUUGAUUCUAUGGGUGGUGGUGCAUGGCCGUUCUUAGUUGGUGGAAGGGCGAAUUCGCG
rnacentral:rRNA from 1 species